GAUGAACGCUAGCGGCAGGCCUAACACAUGCAAGUCGAGGGGUAGAAGCGGCUUGCUGCUUUGAGACCGGCGCACGGGUGCGUAACGCGUAUGCAAUCUACCUUUUACUAAGGAAUAGCCCAGAGAAAUUUGGAUUAAUGCCUUAUGGUAUAUUUGAAUGGCAUCAUUUAAAUAUUAAAGAUUUAUUGGUAAAAGAUGAGCACUGCGUCCCAUUAGUUAGUUGGUAAGGUAACGGCUUACCAAGACGAUGAUGGGUAGGGGUCCUGAGAGGGAGAUCCCCCACACUGGUACUGCGACACGGACCAGACUCCUACGGGAGGCAGCAGUGAGGAAUAUUGGUCAAUGGAGGCAACUCUGAACCAGCCAUGCCGCGUGCAGGAUGACGGUCCUAUGGAUUGUAAACUGCUUUUGUACAGGAAGAAAAAGAGUUACGUGUAGCUUAUUGACGGUACUGUAAGAAUAAGGAUCGGCUAACUCCGUGCCAGCAGCCGCAGUAA
rnacentral:rRNA from 1 species